rnacentral:rRNA from 1 species
ACUGAUCCUAGCGGCGGACGGGUGAGUAAUGCUUAGGAAUCUGCCAUUUAGUGGGGGACAACAUUCCGAAAGGAAUGCUAAUACCGCAUACGUCCUACGGGAGAAAGCAGGGGAUCUUCGGACCUUGCGCUAAAUGAUGAGCCUAAGUCGGAUUAGCUAGUUGGUGGGGUAAAGGCCUACCAAGGCGACGAUCUGUAGCGGGUCUGAGAGGAUGAUCCGCCACACUGGGACUGAGACACGGCCCAGACUCCUACGGGAGGCAGCAGUGGGGAAUAUUGGACAAUGGGCGGAAGCCUGAUCCAGCCAUGCCGCGUGUGUGAAGAAGGCCUUUUGGUUGUAAAGCACUUUAAGCGAGGAGGAGGCUACCUGGAUUAAUACUCUGGGAUAGUGGACGUUACUCGCAGAAUAAGCACCGGCUAACUCUGUGCCAGCAGCCGCGGUAAUACAGAGGGUGCGAGCGUUAAUCGGAUUUACUGGGCGUAAAGCGUGCGUAGGCGGCUUUUUAAGUCGGAUGUGAAAUCCCCGAGCUUAACUUGGGAAUUGCAUUCGAUACUGGGAAGCUAGAGUAUGGGAGAGGAUGGUAGAAUUCCAGAUGUAGCGGUGAAAUGCGUAGAGAUCUGGAGGAAUACCGAUGGCGAAGGCAGCCAUCUGGCCUAAUACUGACGCUGAGGUACGAAAGCAUGGGGAGCAAACAGGAUUAGAUACACUGGUAGUCCAUGCCGUAAACGAUGUCUACUAGCCGUUGGGGCCUUUGAGGCUUUAGUGGCGCGAGCUAA